GUGAACGCUGGCGGUAGGCCUAACACAUGCAAGUCGAACGGCAGCACAGUAAGAGCUUGCUCUUACGGGUGGCGAGUGGCGGACGGGUGAGGAAUACAUCGGAAUCUACUUUUUCGUGGGGGAUAACGUAGGGAAACUUACGCUAAUACCGCAUACGUCCUACGGGUGAAAGCAGGGGAUCUUCGGACCUUGCGCGAUUGAAUGAGCCGAUGUCGGAUUAGCUAGUUGGCGGGGUAAAGGCCCACCAAGGCGACGAUCCGUAGCUGGUCUGAGAGGAUGAUCAGCCACACUGGAACUGAGACACGGUCCAGACUCCUACGGGAGGCAGCAGUGGGGAAUAUUGGACAAUGGGCGCAAGCCUGAUCCAGCCAUACCGCGUGAGUGAAGAAGGCCUUCGGGUUGUAAAGCCCUUUUGUUAGGAAAGAAAAGCAGCAGGUUAAUACCCCGCUGUUCUGACGGUACCCAAAGAGUAAGCACCGGCUAACUUCGUG
rnacentral:rRNA from 1 species